AACGUAGGAGACAAACGUUAUCCGGAGUUACUGGGCGUAAAGGGCGUGUAGGCGGUAUGUUAAGUCUGGCGUGAAAGCUCUCGGCUAAACCGGGAGAGGUCGUUGGAUACUGGCAAACUAGAGGAUGGUAGAGGCGUGUGGAAUUCCGGGUGUAGUGGUGAAAUGCGUAGAGAUCCGGAGGAAUACCAGAGGCGAAGGCGGCCUACUGGGCUGCACCUGACGCUGAGCCGCGAAAGCCAGGGGAGCGAACGGG
rnacentral:rRNA from 1 species